rnacentral:rRNA from 1 species
AACGAACGCUGGCGGCAUGCCUAACACAUGCAAGUCGAACGAAGGCUCCGGCCUUAUUUGCGCACGUGUGCGUAACGCGUGGGAAUCUGCCCUUAGGUUCGGUAUACCUGUUAGAAAUGACUGCUAAUACCGGAUGAUGUCGUAAGUCCAAAGAUUUAUGGCGUGAGGAUGAGCCCGCGUAGGAUUAGCUAGUUGGUGUGGUAAAGGCGCACCAAGGCGACGUUCCUUAGCUGGUCUGAGAGGAUGAUCAACCACGCUGGGGCUAAGACACGGCCCAGACUCGUACGGAAUGGAGCAGUGGAGAAUAUUGGAGGAUGGGGGCAGGCCUGGUCCAGCAGUGCCGGGUAAGUGAUGAAGGCGGUAGGGUUGUAAAGCUGUUUUAGCCGUGAUGAUAGUGACAGUAACGGGUGAAUAAGCCCCGGCUAACUACGUG